rnacentral:rRNA from 1 species
CACGUAGGGGGCAAGCGUUGUCCGGAUUUAUUGGGCGUAAAGAGCUCGUAGGCUGUUCGAUAAGUCGGGUGUGAAACCUCCAGGCUCAACCUGGAGACGCCACCCGAUACUGUCAUGACUAGAGUCCGGUAGGGGAGCGUGGAAUUCCUGGUGUAGCGGUGAAAUGCGCAGAUAUCAGGAGGAACACCAGCGGCGAAGGCGGCGCUCUGGGCCGGUACUGACGCUGAGACGCGAAAGCGUGGGGAGCAAACAGG